UACGAAGGGGCUAGGCGUUGUUCGGAAUCGACUGGGCGUAAAGGGGCGCGAGUAGGCGGCUUUAUAAGUUCGGGGGUGAAAGCCUGUGGCUCAACCACAGAAUUGCCUUCGAUACUGUAGUGCUUGAGACCGGAAGAGGUAAGUGGAACUGCGAGUGUAGAGGUGAAAUUCGUAGAUAUUCGCAAGAACACCAGUGGCGAAGGCGGCUUACUGGUCCGGUUCUGACGCUGAGGCGCGAAAGCGUGGGGAGCAAACAGG
rnacentral:rRNA from 1 species